rnacentral:rRNA from 1 species
AUUGAACGCUGGCGGCAUGCUUUACACAUGCAAGUCGGACGGCAGCACAGAGAAGCUUGCUUCUUGGGUGGCGAGUGGCGAACGGGUGAGUAAUAUAUCGGAACGUACCGAGUAAUGGGGGAUAACUAAUCGAAAGAUUAGCUAAUACCGCAUAUUCUCUGAGGAGGAAAGCAGUGGACCUUCGGGCCUUGCGUUAUUCGAGCGGCCGAUAUCUGAUUAGCUAGUUGGUGGGGUAAAGGCCUACCAAGGCGACGCUCAGUAGCGGGUCUGAGAGGAUGAUCCGCCACACUGGGACUGAGACACGGCCCAGACUCCUACGGGAGGCAGCAGUGGGGAAUUUUGGACAAUGGGCGCAAGCCUGAUCCAGCCAUGCCGCGUGUCUGAAGAAGGCCUUCGGGUUGUAAAGGACUUUUGUCAGGGAAGAAAAGGCUGUUGCUAAUACCGACAGCUGAUGACGGUACCUGAAGAAUAAGCACCGGCUAACUACGUG